UACGGAGGGGGCUAGCGUUGUUCGGAAUUACUGGGCGUAAAGCGCGCGUAGGCGGACCUGCAAGUCGGGUGUGAAAGCCUGGGGCUCAACCCCAGAAGUGCAUUCGAAACUGCAGAGCUUGAGUCUUUGGAGAGGGCAGUGGAAUUCCGAGUGUAGAGGUGAAAUUCGUAGAUAUUCGGAGGAACACCGAGUGGCAGGAGGCGACUGCCUGGACAAAGACUGACGCUGAGGUGCGAAAGCGUGGGGAGCAAACAGGG
rnacentral:rRNA from 1 species